UCUGGCAUGACUUGUCACCCCAUGGAAAGGACCCAUGCUGCAGCAGUUUGUGAAGAACUUCAGCCUGUGGGAAGAACCCACAUUGGAGAAUUUCAUGGAGGACUGUCUCCCGUGGGAGGGACCCCAUGCUGGAGCAGGGGAAGAGUGUGAGGAGUCCUGCGCCUGAGGUGGAAGAAGCAGCGGAGACAACGUGUGACAAAGUGACCUCAACCCCCAUUCCCCGUCUCCCUGCGCCACUGACGGGAGGAGGUAGAGAAAAUUGGGAGUAAAGUUGAGCCUGGGAAGAAGG